GCGCAUCUGGCGGAAUUGGCAUACGCAGCGGGCUUAAAAUCCGUGGUCUUAUGACAACUAUGAGUUCGAGUCUCAUGGAGCGCACCA
rnacentral:tRNA from 1 species